rfam:Shewanella sp. P1-14-1 AN944_contig000012, whole genome shotgun sequence.
UCGAAUGCACCGGUCUUGAAAACCGGCAUGGGUUUGUAGCCCAUCUAGGGUUCAAAUCCCUAUCUCUCCG